UGCCAGCCGCCGCGGUAAUACGAAUGGGGCGAGCGUUGUUCGGAAUCACUGGGCGUAAAGCGUACGUAGGCGGUUAUGAAAGUCAGAAGUGAAAUCCCCGGGCUCAACCCGGGAACUGCUUUUGAAACUCCAUAACUAGAGUCCCGGAGAGGUUAGGGGAAUUCCGAGUGUAGAGGUGAAAUUCGCAGAUAUUCGGAGGAACACCAGUGGCGUAGGCGCCUAACUGGACGGGAACUGACGCUCAGGUACGAAAGCGUGGGGAGCAAACAGGAUUAGAUA
rnacentral:rRNA from 1 species